GAAAGAGACACAACGAGACGAGGACAGUACAGAGAGGAGACGUUGAUCUGCUGACAAUCAUCAAUAAUUUCAGUCAUUCAUUCAUUUUGUUGGAGGUGUGGUGUUACCAGUUGGAGGUAUGGUGUUACCUGGUGAGGUGUGGUGGGGGUGGAGUUGUGUUGUUACCUGGUGGAGGUGUGGUGUUACCAGUUGCAGGUGUGGUGUUACCUGGUGGAGGUGUGGUGGGGGUGGAGGUGUGGUGUUACCAGUUGCAGGUGUGGUGUUACCUGGUGGAGAUAUGGUGGGGGUGGGAGUGUGGUGGAGGUGUGGUGUUAACUGCUGGAGGUGUGGUGUUAACUGGUGGGGAUGUGGUGGGGUGGAGGUGUGGAUGUGUGGUGUUACCUGGUGGAAGUGUGGUAUUACCAGUUAGAGGUGUGGUGUUAACUGCUGGAGGUGUGGUGUUACCUGGUGGAGAUAUGGUGGGGGUGGCGGUGUGGUAGAGGUGUGGUGUUAACUACUGGAGGUGUGGUGUUACCUGGUGGAGAUAUGGUGGGGGUGGCGGUGUGGUAGAGGUGUGGUGUUAACUAGUGGAGGUGUCGUGGGGGUGGAUGUGUGGUGUUACCUGGUGGAAGUGUGGUAUUACCAGUUGGAGGUGUGGUGUUACCUGGUGGGGGUGUGGUGUUACCUGGUGGGGAUGUGGAGUUAUCAGUUGAAGGUGUGGUGUCACCUGGUGGAGGUGUGGUGGGGGUGGAGGUAUGGUGGAGGUGUGGUGUUACCUGGUAGAGGUGUGGUGUUACCUGGUGGAGAUAUGGUGGGGGUGGCGGUGUGGUAGAGGUGUGGUGUUAACUACUGGAGGUGUGGUGUUAACUGGUGGAGGUGUGGUGUUACCUGCUGGGGAUGCGGUGUUACCUGGUGGAGGUGUGG